rnacentral:misc_RNA from 1 species
AACGCACGAGACCUGCGGACCUGCGGAAGGAUCAUUACCUAGAGUUUGUAGACUUCGGUCUGCUACCUCUUACCCAUGUCUUUUGAGUACCUUCGUUUCCUCGGCGGGUCCGCCCGCCGAUUGGACAACAUUCAAACCCUUUGCAGUUGCAAUCAGCGUCUGAAAAAACAUAAUAGUUACAACUUUUAACAAUGGAUCUCU